CCUACGGGUGGCAGCAGUGAGGAAUAUUGCUCAAUGGACGAGAGUCUGAACCAGCCAAGUAGCGUGAAGGAUGACUGCCCUAUGGGUUGUAAACUUCUUUUAUAAAGGAAUAAAACGAGGCACGUGUGCCUUUUUGCAUGUACUUUAUGAAUAAGGCUCGGCUAACUCCGUGCCAGCAGCCGCGGUACUACGGAGGAUCCGAGCGUUAUCCGGAUGUAUUGGGUUUAAAGGGAGCGUAGAUGGGUUGUUAAGUCAGUUGUGAAAGUUUGCGGCUCAACCGUAAAAUUGCAAUUGAUACUGGCAGUCUUGAGUACAGUAGAGGUAAGCGGAAUUCGUGGUGUAGCGGUGAAAUGCGUAGAUAUCACGAAGAACCCUGAUUGCGAAGGCAGCCUACUAAACUGUGACUGACAUUGAUGCGCGAAAGUGUGGGUAUCAAACAGGAUUAGAUACCCGGGUAGUC
rnacentral:rRNA from 1 species